UCCAAACUGGGGCCAGGUGACAAGUACGAGCUGCACGCCGCCACUGCCACCACUCCCAGCGUUGUCGUUCACGUGUGCGACAGCGACAGCGACCUCGAGGGGGACACCAAGAAACCCAAACCCAAAAUCAUCCAGACCCGCCGGCCCGACUUCGCUCCCGCCCCCCUCAGCUGAGCUCCAGCCGCUUUUCCAAGGAUUCCGAGGGAAAAUCCCCCGGGGAAACGGCGCCUCCCGGCUUUGGCAGCAGCGAGGAGGAGAAUUCCAAGCUAAGUUGGCUCCAAAUGAAGGAAUUCCAGGCUCAGUUUGGCUGCCGGGUGUUGAUCCACGAAUUCCCGGAUCCCUGGGAACAAAGGAUGGGAGAAGGGGACGUUUUGGGACAUUACAGGACAACACUGGGAUUCUUUUUUUAGGGGGAAAAGCAGCUGGGGGAGGCUUUCCUUGUUCUGAUUCCCAGAAAUCCUCCAGCUGAUGGUUGUGUGGAAAAGCUUGGGAUAACAGGGUUGGAAAAAUGAUGGGAAUUUUGGGAAUUUAACCCUUUUUCUGACACUAGGUUUUGUGCAUGUUUCUUCUUGGUCUUCUCAAGUAAUUUGCUUUUUUUUCUAGAGUUUCUCCCGAGUUUUUGGAAAUCUGGGAAUCAAGUAUUUAUUAUCUCAGCAUCCCAGAAUUCCUCCUGGAUGUGUACAUACAUGAUAUAUUUAUAUUUGAUUUUAUUGGAGCUCCUUUUCCAGCAGGAUCCAAUUCCUCCAGCACCUGCUUUUUGGUGCUUUGGAAAUUGUGCUUUUAAAAUUUGAACCUUUAAAAUUCCUGCAGAGGGUUUUGAAAUUGUGCUUUUAAAAUUUGAACCUUUGAAAUUCCUGCAGAAGGUUUAGAAAUUGUGCUUUUAAAAUUUGAACCUUUAAAAUUCCUGCAGAGGGUUUUUAACCUGGCAAAGCGAUGGAAAAAAAAAGGUGCAAUAGGAGAGUUGGUGGAAUUCCAUGGAUUUUAAAUUAUUGGAAGUUAAGGUAAUUUAUAUCUUUAAUAAGAUUUGUUUGGGAGCUUUGACUUUGGGAGGGAAAAGGACUCAAAUAACGCUGAUGGUGCAUUUUCAGAGCUGGGGUGUUUUUGGGGAAAAAAAGAAAUUGAUGGAGAAACUUGAAUCUGCAUUUUUGGUGAGUAAAGAUUUGAUAGAGAUUGGAAAAAUUCCACCCAGGAAGCAGUGAGGAAAGCUGGAGUGCCUUUUCCUUAUCCAUUCCUACUCCAAGCUGCACACUUGGAUCUUUUUCUACUGAAUAUCCAGAAAUCUGAAUUUUCUGAGCUUUGCUUCCAAACUCAGCUGGGAUGAAACGUUUCUAAAUGCCAAGAAAUGCUGAUUUAAGCAGUGGCAAAUGUGGGAGAAGCUUUAGGGUUUUUUUAUGGCAGUGUUUAAAGGCUCCUAAAUGCAAAUUUCAAAGAAGAAAGAUGGCAGAAAUAUUUUAUUACUGUUUUUUAAA
rnacentral:lncRNA from 1 species